GAUGAACGCUGGCGGCGUGCCUAAUACAUGCAAGUCGAGCGAACGGACGAGAAGCUUGCUUCUCUGAUGUUAGCGGCGGACGGGUGAGUAACACGUGGAUAACCUACCUAUAAGACUGGGAUAACUUCGGGAAACCGGAGCUAAUACCGGAUAAUAUUUUGAACCGCAUGGUUCAAAAGUGAAAGACGGUCUUGCUGUCACUUAUAGAUGGAUCCGCGCUGCAUUAGCUAGUUGGUAAGGUAACGGCUUACCAAGGCAACGAUGCAUAGCCGACCUGAGUGGGUGAUCGGCCACACUGGAACUGAGACACGGUCCAGACUCCUACGGGAGGCAGCAGUAGGGAAUCUUCCGCAAUGGGCGAAAGCCUGACGGAGCAACGCCGCGUGAGUGAUGAAGGUCUUCGGAUCGUAAAACUCUGUUAUUAGGGAAGGACAUAUGUGUAAGUAACUGUGCACAUCUUGACGGUACCUAAUCAGAAAGCCACGGCUAACUACGUGCCAGCAGCCGCGGUAAUACGUAGGUGGCAAGCGUUAUCCGGAAUUAUUGGGCGUAAAGCGCGCGUAGGCGGUUUUUUAAGUCUGAUGUGAAAGCCCACGGCUCAACCGUGGAGGGUCAUUGGAAAUUGGAAAACUUGAGUGCAGAAGAGGAAAGUGGAAUUCCAUGUGUAGCGGUGAAAUGCGCAGAGAUAUGGAGGAACACCAGUGGCGAAGGCGACUUUCUGGUCUGUAACUGACGCUGAUGUGCGAAAGCGUGGGGAUCAAACAGGAUUAGAUACCCUGGUAGUCCACGCCGUAAACGAUGAGUGCUAAGUGUUAGGGGGUUUCCGCCCCUUAGUGCUGCAGCUAACGCAUUAAGCACUCCGCCUGGGGAGUACGACCGCAAGGUUGAAACUCAAAGGAAUUGACGGGGACCCGCACAAGCGGUGGAGCAUGUGGUUUAAUUCGAAGCAACGCGAAGAACCUUACCAAAUCUUGACAUCCUUUGACAACUCUAGAGAUAGAGCCUUCCCCUUCGGGGGACAAAGUGACAGGUGGUGCAUGGUUGUCGUCAGCUCGUGUCGUGAGAUGUUGGGUUAAGUCCCGCAACGAGCGCAACCCUUAAGCUUAGUUGCCAUCAUUAAGUUGGGCACUCUAAGUUGACUGCCGGUGACAAACCGGAGGAAGGUGGGGAUGACGUCAAAUCAUCAUGCCCCUUAUGAUUUGGGCUACACACGUGCUACAAUGGACAAUACAAAGGGCAGCGAAACCGCGAGGUCAAGCAAAUCCCAUAAAGUUGUUCUCAGUUCGGAUUGUAGUCUGCAACUCGACUACAUGAAGCUGGAAUCGCUAGUAAUCGUAGAUCAGCAUGCUACGGUGAAUACGUUCCCGGGUCU
rnacentral:rRNA from 1 species